rnacentral:misc_RNA from 1 species
GAUGAAGAACGCAGCGAAAUGCGAUAAGUAGUGUGAAUUGCAGAAUUCAGUGAAUCAUCGAAUCUUUGAACGCACAUUGCGCCCCUUGGUAUUCCAUGGGGCAUGCCUGUUCGAGCGUCAUUUGUACCUUCAAGCCUUGCUUGGUGUUGGGUGUUUGUCUCGCCUCUGCGCGCAGACUCGCCUCAAAACAAUUGGCAGCCGGCGUAUUGAUUUCGGAGCGCAGUACAUCUCGCGCUUUGCACUCAGAACGACGACGUCCAAAAGUACAUUUUUACACUCUUGACCUCGGAUCAGGUAGGGAUACCCGCUGAACUUAAGCAUAUCAAAAGCGGAGGA